AUUAGCAAAGAAGGUAGAGGAUCUGUAUGAAUGAAUGCCAGAGGGGAGAACCUUAGAAAUCCCGGAACCAAUAAGGGUAGCUUUAAGAAAGGAGUUAAACUGUACACAGGCUGAAAUCAUUCAACAGUGUUGUAUUGGCACAAACAAAUAAACCGCUUAAUGCCACUGAAGAGUUUGCCCAGAAAGUGACUCUCAUAUGGAAACCUAAUGGAAAAUAAGAGCCACAACCCGACUGAGAACGAUCAUCCGUGGGUCACUGGGCUGCGGGACGGACUUGGCGCACACCGCGUGGACUGGCUGAUGGAAAUGUGACCGCGCACAGUGGGACCCCCACACACGUUUAGGAAGAGACUGAUGCUCAGCCAGGAGCCGGGGGCUGGUCAGGAACCAGUCAGUGGAAACUCUGGAAGGAGGAAAAGUGCAGAGAAAGGGAGGAGCCUAAGAGAGAGGCGCUCCAAAGGGAAGCUCAGCCACCCGUGCUCAUCCCCGACCAACCAGUGCCUGCACCAGCUUGCCAUCCCAGUGCAAUCCCGAUGCCUAGGGAACAGUUCUGUCUGCAUGUGGGAGCACCUGCCUUCUCUAAAGUUGCCCUCAACCCCGUCCUGUUUUGUUACCUUUAUCACUGCCCAAAAGGAUCCUGUUUGCAUUUUGUUGAUUUGGUCACUAUUAUCUCACCAGGCGGGAGCGGGGCCUCAAGAGUCCUACCCUUGAAACCUAGAAGGACGUCUGGUGUGCUGCAGGCUCAUGAACCAGUGAUGAACACUGAAUGCGGAAGGGCGCAUGAACUCUCGGUCCCUUGCAGGGGAGGAAGCUUUCUGGGAAUGAAUCAGGAGAAAGGCAAAAGGCACCCAGAAGAUGAGGGCAGCUUACGGUAUCCCCAGCUUUGCGAAAGUUUACGUUAUGCCGCUUGACUUUUACGAAAGACCUACCUGUGUUUACUAACUGAAAGAAAUCUUAAAAGGCUUUCUCUUUUACGAAAUCGG